rnacentral:rRNA from 1 species
UACAGAGGGUGCAAGCGUUAAUCGGAAUUACUGGGCGUAAAGCGUGCGUAGACGGUCAUGUAAGUCGGGUGUGAAAGCCCCGGGCUCAACCUGGGAAUUGCAUUCGAGACUGCAUGGCUAGGAUGCGGAAGAGGGAAGCGGAAUUUCCGGUGUAGCGGUGAAAUGCGUAGAUAUUGGGAGGAACACCAGUGGCGAAGGCGGCUCACUGGACCGGUACUGACGCUGAUGCGCGAAAGCGUGGGGAGCAAACGGG